rnacentral:rRNA from 1 species
GACGUAGGGCGCGAGCGUUGUCCGGAUUUAUUGGGCGUAAAGAGCUCGUAGGAGGCUUGUUGCGUCGACCGUGAAAACCCGGGGCUCAACUUCGGGCUUGCGGUCGAUACGGGCGGGCUAGAGUUCGGUAGGGGAGACUGGAAUUCCUGGUGUAGCGGUGAAAUGCGUAGAUAUCUGGAGGAAUACCGGUGGCGAAGGCGGCAUCCUGGACCGACAUUGACGCUGAUGAGCGAAAGCUAGGGGAGCAAACGGG